UAUUUCGGGUAAUCGCUAUAGCAAUAUAGAGGAAAGUCCAUGCUCACACAAUCUGAGAUGAUUGUAGUGUUCGUGCUUGAUGAAACAAUAAAUCAAGGCAUUAAUUUGACGGCAAUGAAAUAACCUAAGUCAUUUGAUAUGGUUAGAAUAGUUUGAAAGUGCCACAGUGACGUAGCUUUUAUAGAAAUAUAAAAGGUGGAACGCGGUAAACCCCUCGAGUGAGCAAUCCAAAUUUGGUAGGAGCACUUGU
rnacentral:RNase_P_RNA from 1 species